rnacentral:lncRNA from 1 species
UCUUCAAUUAUAUAUCCAUAUGGUUGUAUCUUUAUUCUCUUUUAAUCUUGAAUAGACCCCCAACAUUUAUUACAUUUAGAGGUUUUUAAAAUAUUUUUUAGUUGUUGAUAGAUCUUUAUUUUAUUUAUUUAUGCAUGGUGCUGAGAAUUGAAUGCAGGGCCUCACACAUGCCAGGCAAGUGCAUUACCACUGAGCCUCAGCCCCAGCCCCACAUUUAGUUUUUUUUUUUAGUACAUGCCAGCUAUUGUAAAAUGACUUGUCAUCUAGAUUUAUCUGGUUGCUUCUUUAUAUUUCAUUUGUUUUAUUUUCCUACUAUUUACAUUUCCAAUAAAUGACCAGCUAUUUCUAAAGACUUGGUUAGAUUCAGCUUAAGAAUUAUGACUCUGAUGAUAUUAUGUACAUCCCAUCAGGAGGCAAGUAAAAUUCAGCUGUCUUGCUGUUAGUAAUUUCAAGUUGAAUCACUCAGUUAAGCUGUGUAACUGCUGGUUUCUCUGAUGUAAAGGUAUAUACCUUCCCUCUUUAACUACUAAUUAAAUAAUAACCUAUGUAGUAAUCCUGUGUUACCAUAUCAACAUCCUGUUCACCAAUUACAUUUCACCAGAGGAUUUUAGUAUCUAUUGAUGAUCCUGACCUUAAAUCAAUGAUCAUAUUAGGGGUUACAAAAUGGUGUUUACAUUUUACAUCUUCCUUCAUAAAAACAAGCACUUUUUAAAAAUAUUUUUUAGUUGUACAUGGACACACAAUAUCUUUAUUUAUUUUUAUAUAGUGCUGAGGAUCGAACCCAGUGCCUCAUACAUGCAAGGCAAGCACACUACCACUGAGCCACAG